GAUGAACGCUGGCGGCGUGCCUAAUACAUGCAAGUCGAGCGAACAGACGAGGAGCUUGCUCCUCUGACGUUAGCGGCGGACGGGUGAGGAACACGUGGAUAACCUACCUAUAAGACUGAGAUAACUUCGGGAAACCGGAGCUAAUACCGGAUAAUAUAUUGAACCGCAUGGUUCAAUAGUGAAAGACGGUUUUGCUGUCACUUAUAGAUGGAUCCGCGCCGCAUUAGCUAGUUGGUAAGGUAACGGCUUACCAAGGCAACGAUGCGUAGCCGACCUGAGAGGGUGAUCGGCCACACUGGAACUGAGACACGGUCCAGACUCCUACGGGAGGCAGCAGUAGGGAAUCUUCCGCAAUGGGCGAAAGCCUGACGGAGCAACGCCGCGUGAAUGAUGAAGGUCUUCGGAUCGUAAAACUCUGUUAUUAGGGAAGAACAAAUGUGUAAGUAACUAUGCACGUCUUGACGGUACCUAAUCAGAAAGCCACGGCUAACUACGUG
rnacentral:rRNA from 1 species